CCAGACUCCUACGGGAGGCAGCAGUGGGGAAUAUUGGACAAUGGGGGGAACCCUGAUCCAGCGACGCCGCGUGAGUGAAGAAGUAUUUCGGUAUGUAAAGCUCCAUCAGCAGGGAAGAAAAUGACGGUACCUGACUAAGAAGCCCCGGCUAACUACGUGCCAGCAGCCGCGGUAAUACGUAGGGGGCAAGCGUUAUCCGGAUUUACUGGGUGUAAAGGGAGCGUAGGCGGCCUGCCAAGUCUGAUGUGAAAUACCGGGGCUCAACCCCGGGGCUGCAUUGGAAACUGGCAGGCUGGAGUGUCGGAGAGGCAGGCGGAAUUCCUAGUGUAGCGGUGAAAUGCGUAGAUAUUAGGAGGAACACCAGUGGCGAAGGCGGCCUGCUGGACGAUGACUGACGCUGAGGCUCGAAAGCGUGGGGAGCAAACAGGAUUAGAUACCCCAGUAAU
rnacentral:rRNA from 1 species